rnacentral:rRNA from 1 species
UCGCUAGUGUAACGGCAGAAGGGUGAAUAACGCGUGGGAAUUAACUCUCUGAUAACGGAAAACGCAGGGAAAUUUGUGCUAAUACCGUAUGUGUCCUUUCGGGAGAAAGAUUUCUCGGUCAAGGAUGAGCCCGCGUUGGACAGCUAGUUGGUGGGGUAAAGGCCUACCAAGGCGACGAUCCAUAGCUGGUCUGAGAGGAUGAUCAGCCACAUUUGGGACUGAGACACGGCCCAAACUCCUACGGGAGGCAGCAGUGGGGAAUAUUUGGACAAUGGGCGCAAGCCUGAUCCAGCCAUGCCGCGUGAGUGAUGAAGGCCCCUAGGGUUGUAAAGCUUCUUUACCGGAGAAGAUAAUGACGGUAUCCGGAGAAGAAAGCCCCGGCUAACUUUCGUGCCAGCAGCCGCGGUAAUACGAAGGGGGCUAGCGUUGUUCGGAAUUACUGGGCGUAAAGCGCACGUAGGCGGAUCGAUCAGUCAGGGGUGAAAUCCCAGGGCUCAACCCUGGAACUGCCUUUUGAUACUGUCGAUCUGGAGUAUGGAAGAAGGUGAGUGGAAUUUCCGAGUGUAGAGGUGAAAUUUCGUAGAUAUUUCGGGAGAGAGACACCAGUUGGCGAAAGCGGCUCACUGGGUCUCAUUCACUUGACGCUUGAGGGUGCGAAAGCCGUGGGGGAGCAAACAGGGAUUUAGAUACCCCUGGGUAGUCCCACGCCCGUAAACGGAUGAAUGUUUAGCCCGUCGGGCAGUAUACUGGUUUCGGUGGGCGCAGCUAACGCAUUUAACAUUUCGCCCUGGGGGAGUACCGGUCGGCAAGGAUUAAAACUCAAAGGAAUAUGACCAGGGGGCCCGCACCAAGCGGUGGGAGCCAUGGUGGGUUUAAUUUCGUAGCAAACGCGCAGAAAACAUAACCCAGCCCCCUUGGACAUGACCCGGCUACUUGCAGAGAAUGCAAGGGUUGCCUUUUCUGGGGAACGAGGGACAACAAGAGGCUUGCAUGGGCUGGUCGUUCCAGCCUCCCUCGUUCUGGAGAAUAGAUAGGGGUAAGAUACCCCGCCACACGAGAGAGUCAACCCUCCCCCCCCUUCGUUUGUCUACGCAAUAAUUUUUGGUGCACUCUCUAACCGGGACAAUGACCCGGCCGUUGUCUAAGCCAAAAACGCAAGCUAAGAAGUAAAUCCAAUUUCUCUCUAUUGGGCGCGCCUUACGAGUCUGGGCGUGAAAAACAUACUUAACAAUUGGUGUUGGGACACAAGU